CCCUGGUCCAGAAGGAGAAGGAUCGGCAGUGCCGGGGGCUGGAGCUCAUCGCCUCUGAGAAUUUCUGCAGCCGGGCAGCACUGGAGGCCCUGGGCUCCUGCCUCAACAACAAGUACUCGGAGGGGUACCCCGGCAAGAGGUACUAUGGGGGGG